UCCAUCUCCCCACAGCGACAACUCACUCGCACAUUUCAGUCUUCAUGUACAUUUUAAUUAUCACCCCUUUACGACCAAACUUGGCCACCGUCUACAAAUUUACGCGGUCAAAGCGGAAGAUUACCUUCCUUUGGUAAAGGCUACAGGCGCCGCGGAAAAUAUGUUCCACCAGUCACGUAUUGGUGGAACUCACAGUGGAACGAGGCGCAAAAAAGGGCACACACUAGGUAUGUGUCGGGUCACCUAAUCCUGAGGAGCUCCUAGGGAAAAGAAGGAACAGGCCAAACGGUAAGUAGUACGCGCUGUAAACAAUCCCGUCGAAAACUAAUAAUCGCGACUCUUUUUCAAAGGAAACAACGAGGACAAAUUGAGGUUUUCGGGUCUAAGUCCGGAUAAAUAUACAGGUCAACAGGUAAGUACAUAAAUUUAGUAAUGUGCACAUUUAAAUUAACAUUAAUGAUUUCAGCCACUUCUGGGCUAGGCGCCGGGCCAACUAUGCCCCGAC